rnacentral:tRNA from 1 species
CCCUUGGUGGUGUAGUUGGUUAUCGCGUCAGACUGUAAUUGAAAUUGUUAUCUGAAUGUCACCGGUUCGAUUCCGGUCCGAGGGA